UUGAUUCUUGACUUGACCAAAUCUCUCUUCUCUCUCUCUCUCUCUCCACCGAAUCUCACCGGCGAUCUUCGCUUCCUCACCCACAAAUCUGAUUCCUCUCCAACACUCUUACCAGAUAAACUUUGAGCUUCUAGGGAUCAGAUUUUGAUCUUGUUAUGAGAAGGAAGAAGAAUGGCGACUCAGGUUGAUCCACCAAACGGAGUCAAGAAUCAAGGGAAGCAUUACUUCUCAAUGUGGCAAACACUCUUCGAGAUCGACACAGAAUACGUCUCUAUCACACCUAUAGGCCGAGGAGCAUCUGGUGUAGUCUGCUCAUCUGUUAACAAAGAGACUGACGAGAGAGUGGCGAUCAAUAAGAUCCACAAUGUGUUUGAGGUAUGAUGUUCUGACCACUGUCAAUACUUCUGGUUUCAGGUAUGAUGUUCUGUUUUGCAUUGUUGUCCUGUUGGUUUUGUCUUCUUUUUUUUUUGAGCAACUCGUGUUGGUUUUGUCUUAUUGCAUUUUUGUUUCUUUUUGUGUAGUUACUUCGAGGGCUUAAGUAUAUUCAUUCAGCCAACUUUCUCCACCGGGAUUUGAAACCAGGGGAUAUCAUUUUCACGUCUUUACCCGAAUUCGCAUGUUCUAGCAUUGAUCUGCUUCAGAAGAUGCUCGUUCUUGACCCACCCAUCUAAGAGGAUUAGUGUCACGGAAGCGCUUCAGCAUCCUUACUUGGCGCCUUUAUAUGACCCGAGUUCAAAUCCUCCUGCUGAAGUUCCUAUUGAUCUUGAUGUAGAUGUAGAUGAAGACGAGGAUUUGGGGGCACUUUUGUGAAAUCGGUUUUGAAAGCUUAAUGUAGUAUCUUUGGAAAUACUAUAUUUAUACGUGUACACAAAAUCCGUUGCAUCUUGAAGUGUCUUAAAUCUCUGUGCACCAGUAAAAGCUCAACAUUCGUUGGGUCGUACAUAGUAUGUAUUCCUCCUAUAAAGAAAAGUAAAUCGGGUUUUGAAGCUGCUAUAAAUACGAGUCUAAGGGUUUGUAAGAUAUUCAUUCACAU